GGUUAAGCGACUAAGCGUACACGGUGGAUGCCCUGGCAGUCAGAGGCGAUGAAGGACGUGCUAAUCUGCGAUAAGCGUCGGUAAGGUGAUAUGAACCGUUAUAACCGGCGAUUUCCGAAUGGGGAAACCCAGUGUGAUUCGUCACACUAUCAUUAACUGAAUCCAUAGGUUAAUGAGGCGAACCGGGGGAACUGAAACAUCUAAGUACCCCGAGGAAAAGAAAUCAACCGAGAUUCCCCCAGUAGCGGCGAGCGAACGGGGAGGAGCCCAGAGCCUGAAUCAGUGUGUGUGUUAGUGGAAGCGUCUGGAAAGGCGCGCGAUACAGGGUGACAGCCCCGUACACAAAAAUGCACAUGCUGUGAGCUCGAUGAGUAGGGCGGGACACGUGGUAUCCUGUCUGAAUAUGGGGGGACCAUCCUCCAAGGCUAAAUACUCCUGACUGACCGAUAGUGAACCAGUACCGUGAGGGAAAGGCGAAAAGAACCCCGGCGAGGGGAGUGAAAAAGAACCUGAAACCGUGUACGUACAAGCAGUGGGAGCACAGAGCAAUCUGUGUGACUGCGUACCUUUUGUAUAAUGGGUCAGCGACUUAUAUUCUGUAGCAAGGUUAACCGAAUAGGGGAGCCGAAGGGAAACCGAGUCUUAACUGGGCGUUAAGUUGCAGGGUAUAGACCCGAAACCCGGUGAUCUAGCCAUGGGCAGGUUGAAGGUUGGGUAACACUAACUGGAGGACCGAACCGACUAAUGUUGAAAAAUUAGCGGAUGACUUGUGGCUGGGGGUGAAAGGCCAAUCAAACCGGGAGAUAGCUGGUUCUCCCCGAAAGCUAUUUAGGUAGCGCCUCGUGAAUUCAUCUCCGGGGGUAGAGCACUGUUUCGGCAAGGGGGUCAUCCCGACUUACCAACCCGAUGCAAACUGCGAAUACCGGAGAAUGUUAUCACGGGAGACACACGGCGGGUGCUAACGUCCGUCGUGAAGAGGGAAACAACCCAGACCGCCAGCUAAGGUCCCAAAGUCAUGGUUAAGUGGGAAACGAUGUGGGAAGGCCCAGACAGCCAGGAUGUUGGCUUAGAAGCAGCCAUCAUUUAAAGAAAGCGUAAUAGCUCACUGGUCGAGUCGGCCUGCGCGGAAGAUGUAACGGGGCUAAACCAUGCACCGAAGCUGCGGCAGCGACGCUUAUGCGUUGUUGGGUAGGGGAGCGUUCUGUAAGCCUGCGAAGGUGUGCUGUGAGGCAUGCUGGAGGUAUCAGAAGUGCGAAUGCUGACAUAAGUAACGAUAAAGCGGGUGAAAAGCCCGCUCGCCGGAAGACCAAGGGUUCCUGUCCAACGUUAAUCGGGGCAGGGUGAGUCGACCCCUAAGGCGAGGCCGAAAGGCGUAGUCGAUGGGAAACAGGUUAAUAUUCCUGUACUUGGUGUUACUGCGAAGGGGGGACGGAGAAGGCUAUGUUGGCCGGGCGACGGUUGUCCCGGUUUAAGCGUGUAGGCUGGUUUUCCAGGCAAAUCCGGAAAAUCAAGGCUGAGGCGUGAUGACGAGGCACUACGGUGCUGAAGCAACAAAUGCCAUGCUUCCAGGAAAAGCCUCUAAGCAUCAGGUAACAUCAAAUCGUACCCCAAACCGACACAGGUGGUCAGGUAGAGAAUACCAAGGCGCUUGAGAGAACUCGGGUGAAGGAACUAGGCAAAAUGGUGCCGUAACUUCGGGAGAAGGCACGCUGAUAUGUAGGUGAAGCGACUUGCUCGUGGAGCUGAAAUCAGUCGAAGAUACCAGCUGGCUGCAACUGUUUAUUAAAAACACAGCACUGUGCAAACACGAAAGUGGACGUAUACGGUGUGACGCCUGCCCGGUGCCGGAAGGUUAAUUGAUGGGGUCAGCGCAAGCGAAGCUCUUGAUCGAAGCCCCGGUAAACGGCGGCCGUAACUAUAACGGUCCUAAGGUAGCGAAAUUCCUUGUCGGGUAAGUUCCGACCUGCACGAAUGGCGUAAUGAUGGCCAGGCUGUCUCCACCCGAGACUCAGUGAAAUUGAACUCGCUGUGAAGAUGCAGUGUACCCGCGGCAAGACGGAAAGACCCCGUGAACCUUUACUAUAGCUUGACACUGAACAUUGAGCCUUGAUGUGUAGGAUAGGUGGGAGGCUUUGAAGUGUGGACGCCAGUCUGCAUGGAGCCGACCUUGAAAUACCACCCUUUAAUGUUUGAUGUUCUAACGUUGACCCGUAAUCCGGGUUGCGGACAGUGUCUGGUGGGUAGUUUGACUGGGGCGGUCUCCUCCUAAAGAGUAACGGAGGAGCACGAAGGUUGGCUAAUCCUGGUCGGACAUCAGGAGGUUAGUGCAAUGGCAUAAGCCAGCUUGACUGCGAGCGUGACGGCGCGAGCAGGUGCGAAAGCAGGUCAUAGUGAUCCGGUGGUUCUGAAUGGAAGGGCCAUCGCUCAACGGAUAAAAGGUACUCCGGGGAUAACAGGCUGAUACCGCCCAAGAGUUCAUAUCGACGGCGGUGUUUGGCACCUCGAUGUCGGCUCAUCACAUCCUGGGGCUGAAGUAGGUCCCAAGGGUAUGGCUGUUCGCCAUUUAAAGUGGUACGCGAGCUGGGUUUAGAACGUCGUGAGACAGUUCGGUCCCUAUCUGCCGUGGGCGCUGGAGAACUGAGGGGGGCUGCUCCUAGUACGAGAGGACCGGAGUGGACGCAUCACUGGUGUUCGGGUUGUCAUGCCAAUGGCACUGCCCGGUAGCUAAAUGCGGAAGAGAUAAGUGCUGAAAGCAUCUAAGCACGAAACUUGCCCCGAGAUGAGUUCUCCCUGACUCCUUGAGAGUCCUGAAGGAACGUUGAAGACGACGACGUUGAU
rnacentral:rRNA from 1 species